AAUAGAUACCCUGGUAGUCCACGCCGUAAACGAUGAGUGCUAAGUGUUGGGGGGUUUCCGCCCCUCAGUGCUGCAGCUAACGCAUUAAGCACUCCGCCUGGGGAGUACGGUCGCAAGACUGAAACUCAAAGGAAUUGACGGGGGCCCGCACAAGCGGUGGAGCAUGUGGUUUAAUUCGAAGCAACGCGAAGAACCUUACCAGGUCUUGACAUCCCGGUGACCACUAUGGAGACAUAGUUUCCCCUUCGGGGGCAACGGUGACAGGUGGUGCAUGGUUGUCGUCAGCUCGUGUCGUGAGAUGUUGGGUUAAGUCCCGCAACGAGCGCAACCCUUAUUCUUAGUUGCCAUCAUUCAGUUGGGCACUCUAAGGAGACUGCCGGUGAUAAACCGGAGGAAGGUGGGGAUGGCGUCAAAUCAUCAUGCCCCUUAUGACCUGGGCUACACACGUGCUACAAUGGACGGUACAAACGGUUGCCAACCCGCGAGGGGGAGCUAAUCCGAUAAAACCGUUCUCAGUUCGGAUUGUAGACUGCAACUCGCCUACAU
rnacentral:rRNA from 1 species